GAGUUUGAUCGUGGCUCAGGAUGAACGCCGGCGGUGUGCCUAAUACAUGCAAGUCGUACGCACUGGCCCAACUGAUUGAUGGUGCUUGCACCUGAUCGACGAUGGAUCACCAGUGAGUGGCGGACGGGUGAGUAACACGUAGGUAACCUGCCCUGUACGGGGGGAUAACAAUCAGAAAUGACUGCUAAUACCGCAUAAGACCACAGCACCGCAUGGUGCAGGGGUAAAAAACUCCGGUGGUACAGGAUGGACCCGCGUCUGAUUAGCUGGUUGGUGAGGUAACGGCUCACCAAGGCGACGAUCAGUAGCCGGCUUGAGAGAGUGAACGGCCACAUUGGGACUGAGACACGGCCCAAACUCCUACGGGAGGCAGCAGUGGGGAAUAUUGCACAAUGGGGGAAACCCUGAUGCAGCAACGCCGCGUGAGUGAAGAAGUAUUCGGUAUGUAAAGCUCUAUCAGCAGGGAAGAAAGUGACGGUACCUGACUAAGAAGCCCGGCUAACUACGUCG
rnacentral:rRNA from 1 species